UGGAAGUUUUAUGUUUUCUAUGACAACAAGAGAGAGUUCAAAGGAGAACCUUAACAAAAGGCAGGAAUGUCAGAUGCAGGAUUCAAACCUUGCUGAAGAACUAGGGCACAUAUGAACACCUCAUAGCAAAAAAAGGAUGUUUUCUACAUCUUCAUCUACACUUGCAGGGUUGAACUAUUAAUCAGUUAUACUGCAACAACUAUAAUCAAUGAUGCUGUAAAUAAAACAAUUCAAGCAGAUGCUGAACAGGUGAAAACCCAUUUUGGAAGACGAGAAACUACCUACAAGAGAGGCAAGGAUAACCAGCACGAGAGAGCUGAGACACAAAGAACCAAUGGGCUCUUUCAAGGACGAAAAGCAAGACGAGAGACAAAGCAGUCUCAGAGACAGAACGCCAGUCCCCAGCGCUGUCAAAAGCAUCGCAUCUACGCUGUCCUUGACCCAUGGCACAGCGCAGCAAAUCAAGCACAUCGCGCUUGCUGUGCCUCACAGCUUUUACUACUUAAUACACGUUUUAACAUGCA